rnacentral:misc_RNA from 1 species
GAAAGUUGUAACUUGAUUAAAGUUCAUUCCUUCUGAUGAGCAUCUCUGGGGUCUGCUGCUAGACAUUCAAAGGUCUCAAAGCUGCAUUCGCGUUUUAUCUAUUUAGCAACUUAAGCAACUCCAUGAUUUAUUCUUUUUCUUGCUAAAGUAUUGAAGUCGUGUAUUUCUUUAGUUUUGUUAAAAUCCUGUUCGCAGAAAGGUGAUUUACAUACCUUAUAAGCAUGCUUACUAUAUUUUAAAGCUUGGGUGGGAAUGAUUU